CCUAAAGCUUCUGUCUGCUGCAGUGGAGAGUCCACACGCCAAACUGAAUGUUCUGAGACUUAACAUCUGUGAACUCUCAGAGGAAAACUGUGAAGCUCUGUCCUCAGUUUUCAGCUCGCAGUCCUCUAGUCUGACAGAGCUGGACCUGAGUAUCAGAAUGCUGCAGGAUUCAGGAGUGAAGCUUCUGUCUGCUGGACUACAACGUUUAAACUGUAAACUGAAUACUCUGAGACUGAGCAGCUGUAACCUGUCAGAGAGAAGCUAUGAAGCUCUGUCCUCAGUCCUCGGCUCCAAGUCCUCCAGUCUGAGAGAGCUGGAUCUGAGUAACUCUGACCUGCAGGAUUCAGGAGUGAAGCUUCUGUCUUCUGGACUAAAGAGUUCACAGUGUGCAGUGGAAACUCUCAGGUCAGGAUUCAAACUUUUCCACAGAUGAUCAUUUGAAAUGUGACUUAUAUUAUUGUAUAAACAGGUAAACUUUAUGCAGCUGUCAAGUGAACUUUUAUUUACAUUUGAGUGGAUUAUUGGACUAUCAAUUACUUUCAAAAGUAAUUGGCGACUACUGAUUGGUUCGCUGUUUGUUUUUUAUUCACAGUACUUACAUUAAUUUUAAAGGCUGAUUUCUCAAAAUGAGAUGUUUAUCUUUUCUUCUACAACACUUGGAGCCACCAAAU